ACAUCUGACGCGGGUUGUGACACUGAAGAUGACCUUUGGCCGAAGAGGUUACAGCAGAUGAGAAAUAUAACUGUGCAAACAGAAGCACUGUAAUUUUAAAAAGCACUAGAUACCAAUGGGAUCAUCUGGCAGUGCGGGCCUAGGAAGAUGAAAUGCAGAUUUUGAGGUGUAAAGAAACAAGGACAGCGGAGGGGUGGAGGCAUCUCUGCCUUCGUACUUUCACAAAAGAUGAAGAACAGAAUCGCGCCACACUGUGGACAGAUUCCGGUUCUCAGGCACCUCCACUGGAAGGCUGUGCCUCAGAAGCAUUGCCUGGGACGGAGGGUCCUAUAAGCCUGCAGACCUGUGGAGUUCGGACUCACCGAGAACCUGAUGGUCAGUUGAGGGUGGGGGUGCUGUUGGUGUGUUGCUCUCAUGGUCAUUGUUUAAAGGUGCCCAC
rnacentral:lncRNA from 1 species